GAAUAACAUAAUAUUUUGACAAUAUGCUGCACUAUGACAGUUUUUGAACUACAUAUCAUACAUGACAAUUUUAGGCAACAUCCCAUCAUUUUGCGCUUUUUGAACCACAUAAUCUAUGGAUUUAUUUGCCGACAUGCUGUACUAUGAACUACAGGCCAUACUAUGUUAUUCUUGAGUAAAGUAUACUAUACUUUGACAUUUUCUGAACUACAUCCUAUACUAUGACGUUAUACACAGAUGUGCUUUGGUUACAUGUUGAUUUAUAAUCUAGGUUUUUUUCUGUUUUGUUUUUUGAUGGCAUUACCACAGACCUGACCGUGAACACCAUUGACACCCACCUGAGGGAGACGCUGUCUAAGAUCUCAAGGCUGCUUGGUCGUGGUCUUUCUGGUCCUGCUCCAGAACGCCUUCAUCAACUACAUCUUCUAUUGAAGAGGCCCUCAGAUGCUGCGAUCUCUGACCUUCGGGAGGAACUGCUACUUUCACUCUGUAACGAGACGGUGGUUAUUUUAAAGACCCAGCUCCUGGUGGCUUUGAGUGAAAGUUUAACAUCCAUCAAAACAGAACUACAGACAGUUAAAUCUGAGCUGUCGGUCAGUAUUUCAAACAUCACGAAAUUGUCUAAACAAACUGAAAAAAUCGGUCUAAAAUUUUUAAAAAAGUGUUCAAAAUGCUUUAAAUUGAUUCAAAAUAUGCCCAGAAUGGCUCAAAAUUCAUCCAAAAUGAUCAAAAUUGACCGAAAUGACUCAGAAAUUGGUCAAAAUGACCCAAAACAUUGGCUAAAAUGUCAAAAACUUGUUCAAAAUAGCUUAAAAUGGUCCAAAAUGUCUUGAAACUAACAGAACUAAAAUGAUAAAGAUUUGUCCUUAUUUACUCAGAAAUGGUCGUAAAUGACAAACACCUAUUCAGACUUAUUCAGAACCUGCCCAGCAGGUGUGGAUUAACCUGCCCGGUAGUUUAUCGCCCAACAAGAACCCAAAUACCAACGUCAGCUUCAUUGUUUUAUACCAGAACUGCUCGUUUUGGACAAAUUCUCAUCAGUGUGGACGACUGCUGGUUGUUUUGGACACAUUUUAAAACACUUAGGACAGAGUUUGAGUCAUCUUGUUCAACCUUUGUUGUCAUUUUGGACGAUAUUUUGCCACAUUGGGACAAUUUUGACUCAAGUUUAAAUCGUCUUCAUCAUGUUUUGAUGUUUUGAAUUAAAUUUUGAUGUCAUUUUGGAAAAACGUUUAUUAUUUUUGACGCAUUUGAAAACAUUUAGGACAAAGUUUGAGUCAUGUUGAACAAACCUUUGUAUUUGGAGUCAGUCUGGAGUCAUUUAGGGCAAUUUUUUGUCAUUUCGUACAAAUCAUUUUUUAACAUAUUAUAAAUAAUUUAGGGCAAAUUUUGAGUCAUCUUGUUCAAAUUUUGUUGUGAUUUUGGACAAUAUUGUCAUAUUGGGAUGAUUUUUAGGUGAUUUAUUUUUGCCAUUUUGCCAUAUUGUACAACUCUUAAGUCAUUCUAUUACAUAUUUUUAGUCAUUUAGGACAAGAUUGAUGCAUCUUGAACACAUUUUGUCAUUUAAAAUCAGAUUUGACUCAUUCCAAACACAUUUUGGACAAAAAUGUGUCAUUUUGGAUAAAUUUGGAAUCACUGAGAAAAGCUUUUGCCUCAUUUUGGUCCAAUUUUGAGUCCCUUAAUCAAUUUUUUGUAUUUGUAGUUGGUCUUGGGUCAUUUAGGACAAAUGUGACGUCAUUGUGGACAAAUUUGUGUCAUUUUAAAUGAAUUUUUGAGUCAUUCUUGACAGAUUUGAGCCAUUUUGGACAGUUUUGGAGUCAUUCAGGGCACUUCAGUUUGUAAUUUGGACAGAUUUCAAGACAUUAUGACCAACUGGACAAGUUUUUGUCAUCUCAGAAAAACUUUGAGUCUCUCAGAACACAUUUUUUGGAUGAAUUUAGAACUAGAGUUAAUGUUGACUUUACCUUGUUGUCUGAGUUACGGGUUUUGUUACUAAAAUACAAAAAGUUUUGAAGUCCAAAAUUAGCAUAAAUGUGUCUAAAAUGACUCAGAAAUUGUUCAAAAAGAGAGAAACUCAUCUGAAAUAACAAAUAUUUGUUCAAACUGACUUCAACUUUAGCCCUAAAUGACUGGAAAAUUCUCCAAAAAAUACAUAAAGAUUAUUGAGAUGUGUGGAAAAUGUGUUGAGAAUAACUAAAGUCCAUAAAGACAAAAAGCCUGUCCAAAAUUAUUUAAAAUUUGUCCAAAAAUCAACACUUUGUCUUCCUUUAACAUUCAAAUCAGUGUGAUGUAGGGUUAAUGUAAUGUGGAUUAAUCCGCCGCCGAAAAUAGUCCCCAGCAAAUGUACGGUCCUGCAUGAUUUAGGUGAUUAAUUACCUUCUUUCUUGAAUUGAAACCAUAUUUCUGAGCAUAGUUGUCCCGAUCUGUGCUGUAAAUUAGUUUAUUAUGUCAUAGGGCAUUAUUUAAAAUAUAUUUUUGCUGUUUUUAUUGUAUUUUCAGAUUAUUUUGCUGCUGUUUAAGUCUUUAUCUGAAUAGUUUCAGGAAGAAAAUUCAGUUGAAACCUUCAUUUACUGACAUAUUAGCUUCAUAAAUGUCCUUUAUGUGCACGUUUUAGCCAUAAAUGCACCAAAAGAAUCACCAAAGGUCCCCGACAAAUUUACUACGAGAUUUAGGUGAUUAAUUAGGUCCUUUUUUUUGAAAAUCAAACUAUAUUUCUCAGCAUAAUUGUCCAGAUCUGUGCUGUAGAUUAGUUUAUAAAUCCAUAGUGCAUUUUAAAUGUAUUUUUGCUGUUUUUAUUGCAUUUUAGCAGGUUUUUAGCUCUAACUGCACCAAAAGAAUCACCAAAUGUGGAUUAAUCCGCCGCUGAAAAUAGUCCCUAAUAAAUGCAGCGUUUGAAGGAGAAUCAUUUCCUCCUUUUUAAAUAAAUUAAAUCACAUUUCUAAGCCUUAUUUUGUGUUGUUGUUUAAAAAUUACUCACUAAAAACAGAAUUAUUUCCAUUUAGAGGUGAAAUAAUAGUUAAUUGGUUCCACUAACUAAUUAAUUUCCGGUGUUUUAUUAAUAAUAUUUACUGAUUCUGCUAUAUGUUGCUGCUGUUUUCAUGUUUAUUGUUGCUUCUGCUUUAUAUUUUCCUGUUUCUUCAAGUGGAUUCAUUGAUUGUGAGGCUUUUCUAAUGAAGUGGUUUGUAUUUAUGGGGCCCCUGGAGGCCCCCAGCAGCAAGUUCUGGUCCCUGGAGCGUCCGGUGUGGCCCAGAGGGUCUCAGCUCUGGAAUUAUUCACAUUUUAUCAACCAGAAAGCUGCAAACAGCUGAUUAAAGGUGCAGAAUUUAUCUUAGCUCCUCGGUCCGUUUAUUCUGUUUAUAUUAUUUAUUUAUUAUUUUUUCGUUAAUCCGGUAAAACGACGUUAAAUCUGAUUAUUUAUUUCAUUUUGUCCGCCCUCAGACGCUGCAGGAGGCCCCCGACGGAACACCGGAGCCUCCCGGAGCUCCAGCAGCCGGUGGAGGCCGCGGAGAGGCGGCCCGGAGAAGGAGCGGAGCGCCGCGGGGAGAGCAGCCGAGGAUGAGCGUCGAUCUGCGGGAAGCUUCAGGUCUGAGAGCCGCUGAUUUAACCGUGGAGCUUCAGCAGUCGAACGUUUUUUUAGUGCAUCGAUCCUAAAACGAUGAAAAAAUAGAUCUAAGAAGAAGAAGAGGAAGAGGAGGAAGAAGAAGAAGUGCUACAUAAGGAGAUGAUGAGGUAAAUCUGUCCAGGAAGAAGAAAACCAACAGAUGAACGGAUGCAGUGAGAGAAACAAACAAACAGCACAC